AGAGCGAACGCUGGCGGCAGGCCUAACACAUGCAAGUCGAACGGACCCUUCGGGGUUAGUGGCGGACGGGUGAGUAACACGUGGGAACGUGCCUUUUGGUUCGGAAUAGCUCCUGGAAACGGGUGGUAAUGCCGAAUGUGCCCUUCGGGGGAAAGAUUUAUCGCCAUUAGAGCGGCCCGCGUCUGAUUAGCUAGUUGGUGAGGUAAAGGCUCACCAAGGCUACGAUCAGUAGCUGGUCUGAGAGGAUGACCAGCCACAUUGGGACUGAGACACGGCCCAAACUCCUACGGGAGCAGCAGGUGGGAAUCGUUGCGCAAUGGGACGAAAGCCUAGACGCAGGCCAUGGACCGCGUAGAAUGAUAGAAGGUCUUAGGAUUAGUAAAACUUUCGUUUACGAACCGGGUACGAAUAACGUAGGUAACCGGGUUAACCCCGGAAGGAAACGGUAAACG
rnacentral:rRNA from 1 species